UACGGGGGGGGCAAGCGUUGUUCGGAAUUACUGGGCGUAAAGGGCUCGUAGGCGGCCAACUAAGUCAUACGUGAAAUCCCUCGGCUUAACCGGGGAACUGCGUCUGAUACUGGAUGGCUUGAGUUCGGGAGAGGGAUGCGGAAUUCCAGGUGUAGCGGUGAAAUGCGUAGAUAUCUGGAGGAACACCGGUGGCGAAGGCGGCAUCCUGGACCGAUACUGACGCUGAGGAGCGAAAGCGUGGGGAGCGAACAGG
rnacentral:rRNA from 1 species